CCAACUGUCAAAAGGAAUUUUGAUGGCAGUGGAGUUCCUGCAGUCGUUUCUGAGGCCCAACUACAGUCCUGCCCAUCUCUUAGAUGCUUACUGAAACAUUCAAUCGGACUAGUGCUAAAUUUGAGACCUGACCUGCAAAUCCAUGCCUUACAUCUUCAUUCCUUCAUUAUCAGGUCUUAAUUAAAGGAACAGAAACAGGCUGUCCCUGUGGCUUCUGUACUCCUUCAAGCUGCCCAGCAGUGGUGCUGGUGAAAACCUGACAUGACCUCUCAGCUCAGCCUCCUCUGUGGGUACCACUUGCCUCAUCUGUACAGUGGAGAUUUGGUGGCAGCAGUGGGAUCUGAAGUGAACUCCUGAUGGCUUCAGGGACAACAAAAAACACAGGCAUGGUACUCCACAAACCCGCUGAGUUCUCUGUCUUCCUGCCAUUUCCGAAGGUCAUGGGACACAAUUGGAAACAUUGGCUAUAUCACCAAGGCUUUGACUGGAACAUCAUAUUUAAGAGAGAUAUCCAUGGACUCAGAUAUAACCAAAGUUUAUGUGCUCAGUCACUGUUCUUGCUACACUUACAUAAAUAAUC